AGGGUUUUUUUUCCCAUUUCUUUCUCUUUUUGGGGAAGAGACUACCUAUUGGUGUUUGGAUGAAGUAGUUUGGGCAGUGGGGCUUUUCUCUGGGUGGGUCUCAGCCUGUUUGUAAAGUUCUGGAUGGGAAAAAUAGUUUGGGGAACUUCCACAGUUGCUCUUCUCUGACACUCAAAAAGCAUAUCAAGCCCCUCCACAGCAAAGAAGAAAUAAGCAAGCAUCCUCCCUUGGGUAGCCAAGACAAAGAAAUGUUUCUGCGGAGGAUAAUACACAAUGUGGCCAAAGGAUUGAACAGCCCAAGGAGAGAGCACCACUUGUAUGUUCUGCAUGCAAGGACACACACAC